AGCAGCCGCGGUAAUUCCAGCUCCAAUAGCGUAUAUUAAAGUUGUUGCAGUUAAAAAGCUCGUAGUUGAAUUUCGGGAUCAAAUUGUUGGUCGUGCCUCGGUACGCACUGGUAUUAUUGGUUCCUACCUUCUGACGAACCAUGAUGUCAGUUAAUUUGGUGUCAUGGGGAAUCAGGACUGUUACUUUGAAAAAAUUAGAGUGUUUAAAGCAGGCUCACGCUUGAAUACAUUAGCAUGGAAUAACGAAAUAGGACGUUUGAUUCUAUUUUGUGGUUUCUAGGAUCGACGUAAUGAUUAAUAGGGAUAGUUGGGGGCAUUAGUAUUCAAUUGUCAGAGUGAAAUUCUGGAUUUAUUGAAGACUAACUACUGCGAAAGCAUUGCCAAGGAUGUUUUCAUU
rnacentral:rRNA from 1 species